rnacentral:rRNA from 1 species
AAGGAAUUGACGGGGGCCCGCACAAGCGGCGGAGCAUGCGGAUUAAUUCGAUGCAACGCGAAGAACCUUACCUGGGCUUGACAUACACCGGAUCGCUGCAGAGAUGUAGUUUCCCUUGUGGCUGGUGUACAGGUUGUGCAUGGUUGUCGUCAGCUCGUGUCGUGAGAUGUUGGGUUAAGUCCCGCAACGAGCGCAACCCUCGUUCU